UCCCUUGUGGCUCAGAGGAUAAAGCACCUGCCUGCCAUGCAGGAGACCCAGGUUUCAUCCUUGGGUUGGGAA
rnacentral:tRNA from 1 species